AAUUUUCCUUUUUACCCUCUCUCCCCCUCCUCUCUCUGGGUUCGGAGGGAACUUCUCUGCAGACCUAAAAUUCCCAUUCCCAACUGCCAUUUUCAUGCUCUCACUGAACCUGAGACCCCUCUCAAUCAUGAGCAAGAGACAAAGACCCAUUCAAUCUCCUCCAUCAACCCCUCCAACCCCACAAACCCGCAACCCCAAAAGACCCAAAACCAUCCUCAAACCCACCAAAUGGGUCCCACUCAAUCUCACCCAAUCCGAGCUCUCCUUGCCCCUCACCUUCCCCACCGGCCAAACCUUCAGGUGGAGACAGACCGGCCCUCUUCAGUACACAGGCGUUGUUGGGUCCCACUUAGUAUCCCUCAGGCACCUCGAAAACGGCGACGUUUCCUACUGCCUUCACCACACCACCACCUCCGAAACCAAUGCCAAGUUGGCCUUGCUCGACCUUCUUAAUGUGGGUAUUUCUCUGGCUGGCAUUUGGGAGGUUUUCUCGGCCUCGGAUUCAAGGUUUGCUGAGCUCGCGAGCUAUUUGGGCGGUGCGCGAGUGCUUAGGCAAGACCCAGUUGAGUGUUUGAUUCAGUUUCUUUGUUCAUCAAAUAACAACAUCCAGAGAAUUACCAAAAUGGUAGAUUUUGUAUCUUCGUUGGGGAACCAUUUGGGUUCUGUUGGAGGUUUUGAGUUCCAUGAAUUUCCAUCUUUAGAGCGCUUGUCAAUGGUCUCAGAGAAAGAGUUCAGAGAGGCUGGUUUUGGCUAUAGGGCCAAGUACAUAACUGGCACUGUAAAAGCUUUGCAAUUGAAACCUGGUGGAGGAGCAGAGUGGCUUUUGUCUCUGCGUAAAACGGAGCUCGAAGAGGGGAUUGAAGCUCUUUCCACAUUGCCUGGAGUUGGUCCUAAGGUGGCAGCAUGUAUAGCUCUUUUCUCGCUUGAUCAACACCAUGCCAUUCCUGUUGAUACACACGUGUGGCAGAUUGCUACUAGAUACCUCAUACCCGAGCUAGCAGGUGCUCGUCUGACACCUAAGCUCUGCGGCCGUGUGGCGGAGGCAUUUGUGAGUAAAUAUGGGAAAUAUGCUGGCUGGGCUCAAACUCUGCUUUUUAUUGCUGAAUUACCUUCCCAAAAAGCCCUUCUACCAGCACAUUUUUCGAAUGCAAAAGAGAGUAAAGCUGCAAAGAAGAAGGAUCGUAAAUCGCACACUGCAGUGGAUACUUCAAUAGUUUAUUAACAUGACUUGACAAUUGGAAUCUGCAUGUUUGAGUUAAAACCUUCUAGUUCGAUGAUUGCAUCACACUGACAAUGUGCAAGAUGAUUUUCUCCAAAACAAUUUAACUCCUCCUCGCAAAUCAGGACUCAGGAAGAUGAACAAUAGUGAAAUAUAAGCUGCUUAUUGGAAGUAAAUUGCCUGGUUCGGUCAAAUUCAGCCAACUCAUUUCUAGUUAAUGAUUUACCUGAAAGUGUACCAAAGUUUUCAGCUGAAUCAAACUUUUGAGCUACCUGCCAAGAUCGUGUAGCAUGUUGUGCACUUACCUGUUGAAGGAGCCAUUUCAGUACCCGAAAAAUACAUAUGAAAUAUCUGAGCUAAUUGCUGCUGCUGUGUGGAGUUUCAUGAAUGAUAAGUGUUGAAGGCUACUUUUUUGCAGUCUGGUAGGAUACUGAUUGACUUUGGUGACAAUUGAUAUGAAGAUUCUUGAAAGAGGACAGUGGCAUGUUUAGGUCCCUUGUUCACCAAGAAAGCAGCACAUUCUCCUGAUUGUACUUUGAAGACAUAAGCCUGGUGGACAAACAUCGAAACCGUUGGCCCAAAGAGAUACUAGUUUGGUCUCCAGAAAGUAGAGCACUGGAGGCUAGCUUCACUGCAGCAUGCAAUUCCUUAAGAUGACCCCAUUUUGGUUGCCUUAUUGAACCUGUAGAAUUCAUCAGCUAAACAGUUUCAAAUACCAAAUACAAGAAGAGGCAAAUAUGCUCCAAGGAAAAAGAUUGUAGAAAAUCCUACCGUACUCAUCAA